CCUACGGGUGGCAGCAGUAGGGAAUCUUUCACAAUGGGCGAAAGCCUGAUGGAGCAACGCCGCGUGCAGGAUGAAGGCCCUCGGGUCGUAAACUGCUUUUAUAAGCGAGAAAUAUGAUGGUAACUUAUGAAUAAGGAUCGGCUAACUACGUGCCAGCAGCCGCGGUCAUACGUAGGAUCCGAGCAUUAUCCGGAGUGACUGGGUGUAAAGAGUUGCGUAGGUGGCAUAAUAAGUAGCUAGUGAAAUCUGGUGGCUCAACCAUUCAGACUAUUAGCUAAACUGUUAAGCUCGAGACCGUUAGGGGUAACUGGAAUUUCUAGUGUAGGAGUGAAAUGCGUAGAGAUUAGAAGGAACACCAAUAGCGUAGGCAGGUUACUGGGACGGUUCUGACACUAAGGCACGAAAGCGUAGGGAGCAAACGGGAUUAGAUACCCGGGUAGUC
rnacentral:rRNA from 1 species